rnacentral:lncRNA from 1 species
GAACGAUAUGGUGGUGAUAUCCUAUCACUCACAUGAUGUUAUAUGAAAAAAUUAAAAUAUAUAACAGCUCCUGAUAAGAUGCAAAUACUAUUAGUAUAGUCUAAAUUUAAAAGUGAAAGGGAAGGUGUAAAUCACCAUAUCUCAAUGCAUUAAAUUUUAGAAUACUAGGCUAUUAGUUAUUUCUGUAAGUAUGUAUACAUGACAGAAACAAAAUUUUAUCACACGGAUGGCAUGAAAAAUAUGCUCUCAAAUAUAUUAUAAAAUUUAAUCUUAGAAAUUGAUACCAUCCUCAAAUUCAAACUUCGUCAAUGAAAAUAAAAUUUGAAAUAAUCUGUAACGCAUCGAAAGCAAGUAUUUUUGGUGCUCUAGAGUAUACUCUAAGCCAACUUAAUAUGCACUUUAGAUGUAUUGACAUAUCAAAUGCUCUAAUCAUAACACAUUGUUCCUAUCUCAUGUGAGGUCCUUAAUUAUUUGAAAGGAAAAAAAAAAAACCAAGUGGACGUGAGUUUUUUUCUUUGUUUUUCCUGCUAUUUUGGCUUUUAUCAUACAAUAAUUUGCAGUGAAAGAAAAAUAACUCCUUGCAUGCUAUAUGUAACUUAGUUAUUACUUAAAAAGUUAGCAAACUAUAUAAUAAGUUUUUGGAAAUUAAAAUUACUAAGCUUAUAAUGAAAUUUGUAUGAAAUAUUAUUAACUGUAUUUUAAAUUAAGAAAUGGGAGAAAUAAAUUAACAGUGAACUUGUAAAAAAAUAUUAAUUAUAAUACUUAAUCCUCGAAACUAAGAUUGUCCUCAAAUUUUAAUCUCCUCGAUGAAAAACGAAGUAUGCAGUGUAUAAUCUAUAAUGCAUCGUAGCAAGUGUUUUUGGUGCUUUAGAGUCUUGUCUAAUCUAAUGACAACGUGAAAAAAAUAAACCUUUUACUUAUAAAUGAAAAGAAGAACAUUAACAUAAUAUUAAGUGACUUUUCUUUUGAUUGUUUAAGAAUGGGCGGCUUCUUUAUAAUGUUUAAGGUUAGGACUUAGGGCACUUGUGUAUAUUUUAAUUUUCAACCGUAUGCAUACUUGUUUAAUGUUGAAUACUUGGGCAAUAAUAUAUUUUAGAGCGUGGGUUGCGGAUCACCCCUUUCCAGUGGAAUUUUUAUUACCACAUAUUCUGCAUUAGCAAAUAAAAUUAAAAAUGCUUGGCAAAACCAACUAAGAGAAGACAAAUGACAAUCUGGUAAAACAUACUUUAUAAUUUAUAAACAAACACUACUUGGUGAUAACAUCCUUAAUUAACAUCACUAGUGGGUGCGUAAAUUGCAAUCAAUCAAAAUAUAAAGCAACAAGGAUGCUUCAACUCCUUUUGUUCCUUUGGAUAUGCCUGGAAAUGUUGGAGAUAUAUAUUUGUUUUAUUCUUAGGCAAUUUAAGGAACAUAAUAAAGUGGA